CCUACGGGGGGCUGCAGUGAGGAAUAUUGGUCAAUGGACGAGAGUCUGAACCAGCCAAGUAGCGUGAAGGAUGACUGCCCCAUGGGUUGUAAACUUCUUUUAUAUGGGAAUAAAAUGUUCCACGUGUGGGAUUUUGUAUGUACCAUAUGAAUAAGGAUGGGCUAACUCCGUGCCAGCAGCCGCGGUAAUACGGAGGAUCCGAGCGUUAUCCGGAUUUAUUGGGUUUAAAGGGAGCGUAGGUGGAUUGUUAAGUCAGUUGUGAAAGUUUGCGGCUCAACCGUAAAAUUGCAGUUGAAACUGGCAGUCUUGAGUACAGUAGAGGUGGGCGGAAUUCGUGGUGUAGCGGUGAAAUGCUUAGAUAUCACGAAGAACUCCGAUUGCGAAGGCAGUUCACUGGACUGCAACUGACACUGAGGCUCGAAAGUGUGGGUAUCAAACAGGAUUAGAUACCCUUGUAGUC
rnacentral:rRNA from 1 species